AGAGUUUGAUCCUGGCUCAGGAUGAACGCUGGCGGCGUGCUUAACACAUGCAAGUCGAACGGGAAUUACUUUAUUGAAACUUCGGUCGAUAUGAUUUAAUUCUAGUGGCGGACGGGUGAGUAACGCGUGGGUAACCUGCCUUGUACAGGGGGAUAACAGUCAGAAAUGACUGCUAAUACCGCAUAAGCGCACAGAGCUGCAUGGCUCGGUGUGAAAAACUCCGGUGGUAUAAGAUGGACCCGCGUUGGAUUAGCUAGUUGGUGAGGUAACGGCCCACCAAGGCGACGAUCCAUAGCCGGCCUGAGAGGGUGAACGGCCACAUUGGGACUGAGACACGGCCCAGACUCCUACGGGAGGCAGCAGUGGGGAAUAUUGCACAAUGGGGGAAACCCUGAUGCAGCGACGCCGCGUGAAGGAAGAAGUAUCUCGGUAUGUAAACUUCUAUCAGCAGGGAAGAAAAUGACGGUACCUGACUAAGAAGCCCCGGCUAACUACGUGCCAGCAGCCGCGGUAAUACGUAGGGGGCAAGCGUUGUCCGGAAUUACUGGGUGUAAAGGGAGCGCAGGCGGGAAGACAAGUUGGAAGUGAAAUCUAUGGGCUCAACCCAUAAACUGCUUUCAAAACUGUUUUUCUUGAGUAGUGCAGAGGUAGGCGGAAUUCCCGGUGUAGCGGUGGAAUGCGUAGAUAUCGGGAGGAACACCAGUGGCGAAGGCGGCCUACUGGGCACCAACUGACGCUGAGGCUCGAAAGUGUGGGUAGCAAACAGGAUUAGAUACCCUGGUAGUCCACACCGUAAACGAUGAUUACUAGGAGUUUGCGAUACAAUGUAAGCUCUACAGCGAAAGCGUUAAGUAAUCCACCUGGGGAGUACGCCGGCAACGGUGAAACUCAAAGGAAUUGACGGGGGCCCGCACAAGCGGAGGAACAUGUGGUUUAAUUCGAUGAUACGCGAGGAACCUUACCCGGGUUUGAACGUAGUCUGACCGGAGUGGAAACACUCUUUCUAGCAAUAGCAGAUUACGAGGUGCUGCAUGGUUGUCGUCAGCUCGUGCCGUGAGGUGUCGGCUUAAGUGCCAUAACGAGCGCAACCCUUAUCACUAGUUACUAACAGGUGAAGCUGAGGACUCUGGUGAGACUGCCAGCGUAAGCUGUGAGGAAGGUGGGGAUGACGUCAAAUCAGCACGGCCCUUACAUCCGGGGCGACACACGUGUUACAAUGGCAUGGACAAAGGGCAGCUACCUGGUGACAGGAUGCUAAUCUCCAAACCAUGUCUCAGUUCGGAUCGGAGUCUGCAACUCGACUCCGUGAAGCUGGAUUCGCUAGUAAUCGCGCAUCAGCCAUGGCGCGGUGAAUACGUUCCCGGGCCUUGUACUCACCGCCCGUCA
rnacentral:rRNA from 1 species